rnacentral:rRNA from 1 species
AUUGAACGCUGGCGGCAUGCCUUACACAUGCAAGUCGAACGGCAGCACGGGAGCAAUCCUGGUGGCGAGUGGCGAACGGGUGAGUAAUAUAUCGGAACGUGCCCAGUCGUGGGGGAUAACGUAGCGAAAGCUACGCUAAUACCGCAUACGAGCUAUGGAUGAAAGCGGGGGAUCGCAAGACCUCGCGCGAUUGGAGCGGCCGAUAUCAGAUAAGGUAGUUGGUGAGGUAAAGGCUCACCAAGCCGACGAUCUGUAGCUGGUCUGAGAGGACGACCAGCCACACUGGGACUGAGACACGGCCCAGACUCCUACGGGAGGCAGCAGUGGGGAAUUUUGGACAAUGGGCGCAAGCCUGAUCCAGCAAUGCCGCGUGCAGGAUGAAGGCCUUCGGGUUGUAAACUGCUUUUGUACGGAACGAAACGGCGAGCUCUAAUACAGUUUGCUAAUGACGGUACCGUAAGAAUAAGCACCGGCUAACUACGUGCCAGCCGCCGCCGUAAUAC